rnacentral:lncRNA from 1 species
UUUGGACCGGAAGGAUGAUGGAGUCAAGAUGUAGGUGCGGAGAACCCCUAGUUCAGGGCAGAAAAGGAGAUAAAUAAAAGAAAAGGACAUCACAGAAGGAGCUGAAGAAACUAAAAGAUGAAGCUGUAAUAAAUCCAACACAACAUACUGCAUGAUUAAUAAAAGAGAGAGGAAAGACAGGCGUAACCCAACCUAAUUUCGAUGAAGUACUUGAUACACGUCUAAUGAAGUCUUACAAAGCGAGUUUCCUUUGGAUUGGCUUUAGAUUCCAGCACUCCAUAAAAGCUGUAAGGUUGGUAGCAGGAAACCUAUGAUCCCAGAAGAUCUUGUAAAGGAAAACUCAUCACCUGACACUCCACAGUCUCCCAAUGCUCAUUUCCAGCCUCCUCCUCCAUCCAUCUUGUCCCUUGCUGCAUGAGUAGCUUUCAUUACAGUAAACUUCCAUUACCUGUAUCUGCUUUGUAGAGACAGUACUCAUUUCAAAUUGUUCAUUAGUAAUGCUCCCUCAUAUUGCUCAAUUGAUAAUAUUUUUCUGCUCAUGAAUAUUGUUUGGGGUGAUUUGGGUUGGGUGGAAUGCAUCACAACUUUUUCCAAUUAAAACUAAUGGAAAAUUGUUUUAUUUAAUGGCUUUUCGCUAAGUGACAGGGUUUUUCGGAGACAAAUUAAAAUGGUUCAGUGAGGGAUAGUAAUAUCUAACUUACACUCCUGGUUUUAUUUCCC